rnacentral:rRNA from 1 species
GACGAACGCUGGCGGCGUGCUUAACACAUGCGAGUCGAACGGUGAAGCGCCUUCCUUUUUGGUGGGUGUGGAUGAGUGGCGAACGGGUGAGUAACACGUGAGUAACCUGCCCCCUUCUUCUGGAUAACCGCAUGAAAGUGUGGCUAAUACGGGAUAAUCUGGGUCUGUCGCAUGAUGGGUCUGGGAAAGAUAUUGUUUCGGUGGGGGAUGGGCUCGCGGCCUAUCAGCUUGUUGGUGGGGUGAUGGCCUACCAAGGCGGUGACGGGUAGCCGGCCUGAGAGGGUGGACGGUCACACUGGGACUGAGACACGGCCCAGACUCCUACGGGAGGCAGCAGUGGGGAAUAUUGCACAAUGGGCGCAAGCCUGAUGCAGCGACGCCGCGUGAGGGAUGGAGGCCUUCGGGUUGUGAACCUCUUUCGCCAGUGAAGCAGGCCUGCCUCGUUUGUGGGUGGGUUGACGGUAGCUGGAUAAGAAGCGCCGGCUAACUACGUG